rnacentral:rRNA from 1 species
UGGGGAAUAUUGGACAAUGGGGGCAACCCUGAUCCAGCCAUGCCGCGUGAGUGAUGAAGGCCUUCGGGUUGUAAAGCUCUUUUGGCGGGGACGAUGAUGACGGUACCCGCAGAAUAAGCCCCGGCUAACUUCGUGCCAGCAGCCGCGGUAAGACGAAGGGGGCUAGCGUUGUUCGGAAUUACUGGGCGUAAAGCGCGUGUAGGCGGUUUGCCAAGUUGGGUGUGAGAGCCUUGAGCUCAACUCAAGAAAUGCACUCAGUACUGGCAGACUAGAGGACCGGAGAGGAUAGUGGAAUUCCCAGUGUAGUGGUGAAAUACGUAGAGAUUGGGAAGAACACCAGUGGCGAAGGCGGCUAUCUGGACGGUUUCUGACACUAAGACGCGAAAGCGUGGGGAGCAAACAGGAUUAGAUACCCUGAUAGUCCACGCCCUAAACGAUGCGAACUGGACGUUGGGAGCAACUUGGCUCUCAGUGUCGAAGCUAACGCGUUAAGUUCGCCGCCUGGGGAGUACGGUCGCAAGACUG